rnacentral:rRNA from 1 species
CCUCGGGACUCGGCGUACCGCUCAGUAACACGUGGGUAACCUGCCCUAUGCUGGGGAAUAACCUCGGGAAACUGAGAACAAUGCCCCAUAGCCCACUACGCCUGGAACGGUGAGUGGGUCAAAGCUCCGGCGGCAUAGGAUGGGCCUGCGCCGUAUCAGGUUGUAGGGGGUGUAAAGUACCCUCUAGCCAUCAACGCGUACGGGUGUUGGGAGACAUUGCCCGGAGAUGGAUUCUGAGACACGAAUCCAGACCCUACGGGGUGCAGCAGGCGCGAAAACUUGGCAAUGCGAGAAAUCGUGACCAGGGAACUCCAAGUGCGUAGGGUAAGACCUACGCUUUUCUUGACUCUUCAAAGGUCUUGGAAUAAGGGGUGGGUAAGGACGGUGCCAGCCGCCGCGGUAAUACCGGCGCCUCAAGUGGUAGUCGCUUUUAUUGGGCCUAAAACGUCCGUAGCCGGUCUGGUGCAUUCGUGGGUAAAUCAACCCGCUCAACGGGUUGAAUUCUGCGAGCACGGCCAGACUUGGGACCGGGAGAGGUGUGGGGUACUCUCAGGGUAGGGGUAAAAUCCUGUCAUCCUGAGAGGACCACCUGUUGCGAAGGCGCCACACUAGAACGGAUCCGACGGUCAGGGACGAAACCUAGGGGCACGAACCGGAUUAGAUACCCGGGUAGUCCUAGGUGUAA